rnacentral:rRNA from 1 species
UACGUAGGGUGCGAGCGUUAAUCGGAAUUACUGGGCGUAAAUCGUGCGCAGGCGGUUUUGCAAGCCGGAUGUGAAAUCCCCGGGCUCAACCUGGGAAUGGCAUUCGGGACUGCAAGGCUGGAGUGCGGCAGAGGAGACUGGAAUUCCUGGUGUAGCAGUGAAAUGCGUAGAUAUCAGGAGGAAUACCGAUGGCGAAGGCAGGUCUCUGGGCUGACACUGACGCUCAUGCACGAAAGCGUGGGGAGCAAACAGG